rnacentral:rRNA from 1 species
AUUGAACGCUGGCGGCGUGCCUAACACAUGCAAGUCGAGCGGUAACAGGUGUAGCAAUACAUGCUGACGAGCGGCGGACGGGUGAGUAACGCUUGGGAAUCUGCCUAUUAGUGGGGGGACAACCCGGGGGAAACUCGGGCUAAUACCGCAUACGCUCUACGGAGGAAAGCCGGGGACCGCAAGGCCUGGCGCUAAUAGAUGAGCCCAAGUCGGAUUAGCUAG